rnacentral:rRNA from 1 species
UACGAAGGGGGCGAGCGUUGUUCGGAAUUACUGGGCGUAAAGGGCGCGUAGGCGGCGCCGGAAGUCAGAUGUGAAAGCCCCGGGCUCAACCUGGGAACUGCAUUUGAUACUCUGGUGCUGGAGUUCGGGAGAGGAGAGUGGAAUUCCCAGUGUAGAGGUGAAAUUCGUAGAUAUUGGGAAGAACACCAGUGGCGAAGGCGACUCACUGGACACGUAUUGACGCUGAGGUGCGAAAGCGUGGGGAGCAAACAGG